UAAUUUGUCCAAGAAGCAUGACACUAUGAAUAAUUCAUCGCACCAAAGCGGAGGAGUGCAGUCAGUUGGUGAUAUAACCAGUGCGGCACAUAUCGACAAUGAACAGACGCAAGUUGCACCUCUAAUUAGGGAUCUGAUAACACCUGAACUGAAGCUUAAUCCUAAAAGGACUAUGUCAAUGAACAACACACUACAAUCAAAUCUAGUCUAAUUAAUGAGUCGAUGAAUCAGAAUAUGGGUAAAUCUACUGGAAAAUCAAUUGAAGGAGAUAUGAAAGGAAGGUUGGGGAAAAGCCCUGAUUUGAAUUUGUAGAUCUCGAGCUCACAACCAAUAGAAUAGUGUCAAUCUACUGAACCUGUGCGAGUGUCUAAAGAAACAGGACAAGAACUACAAAUAGAAUUUGUGUCAUAAUUUGGGGGAAGCUGAUAUCCAUGAAGAUGAUGCAAACCCAUCAGAGAAUCCACGCGAAUCAAUAGAAAAGGCAAAUCCCAUAUGAUACACCAGAUCCGUGUAAUUGAGAGAGUCAUCAUAUCAAUGCCUUGGGGAAAUGCCUACCUCUUUAAACUAUAUCCCUUCUAUUGUUAUAAAUAGUGAAAUUAUAGUGCAAUUGGAUAGAGAGGAGGUGGAAAAGGAGAAUGCAAAAUGGAGAGGUGCUCUAAUAGCUUAUGUUAUAGGAAAGUUGCCUGGAUAUAACUAUAUAAGGGGGUACAAAGAUAGAACCUGGAUAGACAUUGUUACAUAUGAUUUUUUUACCUUUAUGAAGAUGGUUACUAUGUUAUUAGGUUCCAGACUGUGGCAGAGAUGCAACACAUUUUGUAUUCUGGUCCUCAUAUGUUUAACAAUAGAGCUAUCAUUCUUAAACAAUGGUCUGUAGAUUUUAACUUUAAUGAUGAAUUCUUAAUGGAGAUUUCCUUAUCGGCUAGUUUUCCUAA